UCGAGACUCAUCGCGCAGGGUUGUCACACGAUUCGAGCCGAGCAGCUGAGUGAGGACGAGCAGCAGUCUGAUCAUCACACUCCAAUGCCACAGCGCCGGAUUGUACACAGUUCCUGCCGAGCCAGCAAGUCCAGAAGAGCAGCAUCAGUGGAUCUACUGGUCAUCACACUUCGAGACUCAUCGCGCAGGGUUGUCACACGAUUCGAGCCGAGCAGCUGAGUGAAGAGGAGCAACAUCAGUAGAACUUCUGGAUGUAUAUUGAUAUAUAAAUUGUUGUGGGCAGCCGUGUUGAACCCUGGACUUGACGCAGUAACAGCGCUACCACCGGUCAUCGUCCAGGGUUUCCGGCAGGGCACGAUGCACGAAUACAGCCAGCCACUCGAGUGCUAUCUCCCUGCAGUAGGCGCCUGAGAACGAUCGAUCGGCGAGGAUCAUUCGGCUGCUAUGCGAAGUGGUCGGCACUUCAGUUCGGGCCAGCGCGGCUAAUGUAUCUUGUCGAAUAAAGCGUCGGUUGUAAUUAAGA